GAUCCUGCCGGCGGGCACCGCUAUUGGAGUUCGCUUAAGCCAUGCGAGUCGAGAGGGGUAAGCCCUCGGCGCACUGCUCAGUAACACGCGGACAAUCUGCCCUCGAGACGGGGAUAACCCCGGGAAACUGGGGAUAAUACCCGAUAGGUCUGAGAUGAUGGAAGGCUCUCAGGUCCAAAUCCUGCGGGGCUCGAGGAUGGGUCUGCGGCCUAUCAGGUAGUAGGGGGUUUCACGGACCCCCUAGCCGUAGACGGGUACGGGCUUUGGGAGAAGUCGCCCGGAGAUGGAUUCUGAGACACGAAUCCAGGUCCUACGGGACGCAGCAGGCGCGAAACCUCCACAAUGUGGGCAACCACGAUGGGGGAACUCCAAGUGCCUACACUUUUGUGUAGGCUGUUCUCGAGCCUAAAAAGCUCGAGAAGUAAGGGCCGGGUAAGACGGGUGCCAGCCGCCGCGGUAAUACCCGCGGCCCGAGUGGUGCUCAUUAUUAUUGAGCCUAAUGCGUCCGUAGCUGGCCGGGCAAAUCUCCGGGUAAAUCGGGCGGCUCAACUGCCCGA
rnacentral:rRNA from 1 species